rnacentral:rRNA from 1 species
UACGGAGGGUGCAAGCGUUGUUCGGAAUUAUUGGGCGUAAAGGGCAGGUAGGUGGUCCCAAAAGUCUACUGUGAAAUCCCCGGGCUUAACUCGGGAAGUGCGGUAGAUACUCUGGGACUAGAGUACUGGAGGGGUUCGUGGAAUUCCCGGUGUAGCGGUGAAAUGCGUAGAUAUCAGGAGGAACACCGGUGGCGAAGGCGGCUCACUGGUCCGGUACUGACGCUGAGGUGCGAAAGCGUGGGGAGCAAACAGG